AGAGUUUGAUCCUGGCUCAGGACGAACGCUGGCGGCGUGCCUAAUACAUGCAAGUCGAACGAACCGCGACUAAGUGCUUGCACUUGGUCAAGGUGAGUGGCGAACGGGUGAGUAACACGUGGGUAACCUACCUCAUAGUGGGGGAUAACAGUCGGAAACGACUGCUAAUACCGCAUAGGACAUGGGAUCACAUGAUUCUGUGAGGAAAGGUGGCGCAAGCUAUCGCUAAGAGAUGGACCCGCGGUGCAUUAGCUAGUUGGUAGGGUAACGGCCUACCAAGGCGAUGAUGCAUAGCCGACCUGAGAGGGUGAUCGGCCACAUUGGGACUGAGACACGGCCCAAACUCCUACGGGAGGCAGCAGUAGGGAAUCUUCCGCAAUGGACGCAAGUCUGACGGAGCAACGCCGCGUGAGUGAAGAAGGUCUUCGGAUCGUAAAGCUCUGUUGUUAGAGAAGAACAGCGCAUAGAGUAACUGUUAUGCGUGUGACGGUAUCUAACCAGAAAGCCACGGCUAACUACGUGCCAGCAGCCGCGGUAAUACGUAGGUGGCGAGCGUUGUCCGGAUUUAUUGGGCGUAAAGGGAGUGUAGGCGGUCUUUUAAGUCUGAUGUGAAAGCCCACGGCUCAACCGUGGAGGGUCAUUGGAAACUGGGAGACUUGAGUGCAGAAGAGGAGAGCGGAAUUCCAUGUGUAGCGGUGAAAUGCGUAGAUAUAUGGAGGAACACCAGUGGCGAAGGCGGCUCUCUGGUCUGUAACUGACGCUGAGGCUCGAAAGCGUGGGGAGCAAACAGGAUUAGAUACCCUGGUAGUCCACGCCGUAAACGAUGAGUGCUAAGUGUUGGAGGGGUUCCACCCUUCAGUGCUGGAGUUAACGCAAUAAGCACUCCGCCUGGGGAGUACGGCCGCAAGGCUGAAACUCAAAGGAAUUGACGGGGACCC
rnacentral:rRNA from 1 species